rnacentral:rRNA from 1 species
GACGAACGCUGGCGGCGUGCCUAAUACAUGCAAGUAGAACGCUGAAGGAGGAGCUUGCUUCUCUGGAUGAGUUGCGAACGGGUGAGUAACGCGUAGGUAACCCGCCUGGUAGCGGGGGAUAACUAUUGGAAACGAUAGCUAAUACCGCAUAACAGUAGAUAUCGCAUGAUAUCUACUUGAAAGGUGCAAUUGCAUCACUACCAGAUGGACCUGCGUUGUAUUAGCUAGUUGGUGAGGUAACGGCUCACCAAGGCGACGAUACAUAGCCGACCUGAGAGGGUGAUCGGCCACACUGGGACUGAGACACGGCCCAGACUCCUACGGGAGGCAGCAGUAGGGAAUCUUCGGCAAUGGACGGAAGUCUGACCGAGCAACGCCGCGUGAGUGAAGAAGGUUUUCGGAUCGUAAAGCUCUGUUGUAAGAGAAGAACGAGUGUGAGAGUGGAAAGUUCACACUGUGACGGUAUCUUACCAGAAAGGGACGGCUAACUACGUG